UGGGAAUUGGUCCUGCUUUGAGCAGGGGGUUGGACUAGAUGACCUCCUGAGGUCCCUUCCAACCCUGAUAGUCUAUGAUUCUAACAUUCCAUUGAGUGUGGUGAGCAAGACUGGGUGGGCCUCUUGCAGUGAAAAUGUGCUCGUAAUUAAAGCUUUAAAGUGAGUGAAUGUUUAAUCUUUAUCAUCAUACUUUAGGAACUGGCUUCCAUUUGAGCAUCUGAACAAUGCUGUACUGUCUUUAUUAUUGUAGGGCUGUAUAGACAUCUUGGUGAGUGUUUGUAAGGCUUCAGAUACUAAUGAUGUAUCCCCACAACACCCUGGCAAGGGUUAGAGGAGACCAUCGCAAAGGCAAAAUGAACAAUGAGUGGAGAGGGAGCUCAGUUCGGCCGGCAUAAGGAACGAGGAAAGGACGUGCUUUCAGAUGGGAUUCAAAAAGCAGAUGGAGGUCUAAGGGGCAGAGACGUACACAAAGGCCGUUCCUGAGGGUAGGAGCUCCUGUGGAGAGGGCUCUUGCACAGUAAACGUCCACACUCUGCAACGGGCCAGGGAAGAGGAUGCUGCCAGAUAAAGGGAGAGAGCAGGAAGAGAAGAGAAAGACAAGGGCACAGUCCAAGGUGAAGUGGAGACUUACAGGAAACAACUACCCACUCCUCAGAAUUAACGCCUCUUGAGCACUCUGGAACUGAUGACAAGUUGAGUUUAAAGGACCCUUGCAUUGAAGUUCAGUGCUGAAGUUCUCCACAUGAUCUGUGAUUUAAAAUCUAGUUUACUGGAUAAACUAGUGCUGCUUGGCCUCUCCUUAUGUUUCAUGAACAUUAGUUCAUGACUUGAGGGGAUUUGAGCUUAGAUAAAGCUCACAGAAUAAAGACUAUAUUUAAUUGAAAAUACAGGGAGAAUGUAGAUAGAUGGAAUGUAAUUACUAGGGUUCAAAACUGGCUAGGAAGCCAGGGUUAUCAUCUCUAUUAUUUACAGAAAUAAAAUAAAAAUUGCUAUGGGAUCUUUAAUUACCAUAGCUGAUCAGGGCCUCAGGUUUACAUCUGAUCUGUAAAAUGUCAUCUCUGGGGCAUAACUUCAGUGGAGGCAGCUGAGACCCUCUUUCUGCUGUGUGGUGGGAGGGGUGGGGAGAAGAUGGAGGAAAACUGCAUGUGGCAAGCCCCUUCUGCACGCAGAUCUGGAAGGGGCAUGAGUGGGCCAAAUGUUUGGGGCAAGAUUAUCACAUUUCAAGGCAAAAAUGCCCUAAAAUAUGUAUCCAAUAGAGUGGUAUCUCUGAACCAUGAGGCACAAUUUGGAAGUGGGUCAUACACCUGUCCUGAUUGGGUCAUGGCUAGAAUGCUUCAAAGUGUUUGAAACGGCCGUGAAAAUUUUUUCAUGGAAAAUUUCACUUAAAAGUUUGUCAGAGAAAAUUUUGAAGGAAAACAUAUUUUGACCAGCUUGAGUGGAGUCCAUAACUUCUGGGAGAGCAGAGCUCUGUGGCCAUGGUAGCAAGGCAUCAUCAUCGUCAAUCGCAGCAUGCUGCAUUUUGUGGGGAAAGCAAAAUUUGCCAUUCUCAUGUCUCAAGAGGGAAAGAAAAGGAAGCAGAGACGGUGCUUAGCUCCAGGCUGUUCUGCUAUAGCACUAAGCAAACAUGGGAGAAAAGAGAAGCCUUCCAAGCCCCAAACUCAACCCUGGACUGGCAAUCUCCAAACCCUCACCAGCCGGCACCCUCAGCAAUCUCAAUCCCAGGCUUCUUGCCCCUGAUUAUCUCUAGCUCCCGGCACACAUGUCUUCCCAUGACCCAAAUCCAAAAGGAUUGUGGGAUAUAGUGUGUCACAUAAUGUUUUUGGGGGUUUUUUUGGACCAUUUUGUGGGUUGUGGACAUUCCUUUUGGAAAAUGUUUAUGGUUACCAAAUUUAUGCUACUAAAAUAUUGUAUGUUGCUCUACUUCUGUGAGACUUGUAGCUUAAAUUAGUUGUAUACUGUGUAUUUUUAAACAUCUUUAACUGAAAAAAUGUCCAUCUUUUCAUUUGAUUUAACAAUCCUUUAGCAGCAUCUGUGGAUUUGAAAAGAACUCAAGUACAGGGCAUAAAUGUUUUUCUAAGGAAUAUAAUAGACUAUUGAAAAGAAGGUAAUGCUGACAAAUAAAAAGUUACCUUUUCAAAGGUAAAGUGUUACAAGUGCUAAAAAGAGCAUCAUCUUCACAUCAAAUCAAGCAAGGUACAGGAUUCAAGAAGCACUGUGCCAAGAGGCAAUUUCUCAGCAAGAUGUUAACAUCAGAACAGAAAGUGAUGUGUCUGGAAGCAGAACUGCUGAGCUGCAAACAACCUGGGUGUGAGUCAGAGAAUAUUAGGACAGACCCUGUCCACCAGGAAUAUAGACUUGAUUGCAUGUGACUUGUGUCAACUCUAGAGCCAUCAAGAGAAAACCAGAAAACCAAGGCAACAGCGAUAUUUCUAAAUGAGCCAUUCAGCCUCUAAGGCAAGUAAUCUGGCAACAACUCCAAUUCCAAGGGGAGAAGUCAACGUGCCAAGUUUGUGUUCUACAGUUAAAGCCUUCAUUCAUCUUUUUCCCCCCCAGGAAAAAAAAAUCACUAACACGUCAUGUUUUAAAUUAUGAUUAUGUCUUAGACUAGCCCAUACUUUUGAAAGCAGAAUCCAAUCACCUGCUCAGGCUCAUUAGUGUCUUUGGGAUCCUAAUGACCCACUCAGUUGCAGUAAAUGAAAAACUAAUCCUCAUUUUAUGCCAUUGACCGAAAAGGAUUAACCAACUCUUGCUACCCAUGCAAUCAGCCUUGUAGUAGGGAGAUUACUGCCUUCUAAUACAGUAAGUCUACACAUUCCAAGCUGUUACAGUAAGUAGCAUUUAAAGCUUAGUUCCUUGAAAUGCUUAAGCGUAUUAAUGCUGUAGUACGUAAGACUGUUUUCUUACGAUGCAAUGCUUCUUUUGUCACUGCGACUAAACUUUGUAUUUACACUAUUUCCUAGAAGAUGUUUUUUAAUGAUGCCAAAUUAGCAAGGGGGCAGCUAAAUGUCAUUCCCCCCAAAAUGUCAUUUCCAUCUUGACAAAAGGAUGCGAAAGCUGGAAAUCCGACAAAGUUACAGCCCAACAUCUAAGGGCUAGAUUCACAAAGUGAACAGACAUUGCAACGCCGAGCGGUGCGACGCCUGACUCCUAGGCACCCUGCCACCUCGUGGAACUCCCAGUGCUGCAUGCCCAGCUUCCCUCUCCAAUGUAUGAGGAGAGCUAAGCACCUAAAAUGAGAUUCACAAAAGCUAGCACACUGUGUGGAAAGCAGCCUACACUAGCCAAUGCUGAGAGGAGGGCUGGGGCCUAAGUAAUGCACCUUAAAGGGAGUUAGGCACCCAAGUCCAGGCUGGAGGGAGGUACCUAUCACCACUUGGGUUCACAGCUGUGAGCCCUCUCCUGAAGUUAGGCACCUAUACCAGGUCAGCCCUUUAUGAGGGGGGUGGUGGUGCCCCCUUCAGCCUACUGGCUAAUACUAGCUCCAGGAACAGGGAGACCUGGGUUAAGUUCUCCCCUGCCUGAUGUAGGACAGGGAUUUUAACUUGAGUGUUCAACCUCCCAAGUGAAUACUGUUCCCUAGGCAUUCAUACACAUGGGGCCCAAUGAAUAUUUCAGUAUUUAUACACAGAGGAACCGCUUCCACAGGAGAGAUUGAGAGGCUUGUGCCAGAAUACCCCAUAGCCCAGGGGAUGGGGCACCCACUGAAGACGUGGGAGACCCACCUUCAAAUCGGUGCUCUACAUCAGGCAGAAAAAGGUAUUGAAGCUAGACACGUGAUCUAAAGCCAGAAGGGGGGCUCUGCCUCCUCCUCUGGUGUACGUUGAAUGGCUUUAAGUGGGCUCACAGCACCAAAUGGGGCCCCAAAAGCAGGAUAGGUGGGACAAUGCUUAGUUUGAGCAUUGGGGCAGUGGUGGAUUAGCCCCUGGGCCGACGGGCAUCGGCCAACCGGGGGGGGGGGAGGGGUCCUGGAAAAAUCCA